rnacentral:lncRNA from 1 species
AGUGCUGACUACAAACAUCUGAUAAAACAGGUUUUACAAGACCAAUAUAUACAAAAAUGGCAUCAAGAUGUCCAAUUAUCUUCCCGAGGUGUAUUUUAUUCUAGUUAUAAAAACUGUUUUGGAUUUGAAAAUUAUUUAAUAAAAAUACCGGAAAAUGCAAGAAUCUGGAUGACAAAAUUAAGAACGUCUAAUAUAAAAAUUCCCAUUGAAACUGGGCGUUGGCACAAUAUUCCGGCGGAGGACAGAAAAUGUCACAUAUGUAAAGAAAGUGUAGGAGACGAAUUUCACUAUCUUUUUAUAUGCAAGUCUCCUUAACUGGUUACUUUUAGAGAACAACAUAUCCCUAGUUAUUAUACGAAGCAUCCAAGUAAACAGAAAUUAUCUGUAAUGUUAUCUUACUGUAAUGUCAAUAUAUAUAGACAGGUGGCAUCUUUUAUCAAAAAGCUGAAUAACCUAUUGUGAUAUGUAUAUUAAUUUGUCUUAUUUUUUUUAUUUUUUUUAUUGUUGUUUUUUUUUUUUU